CCUACGCGUGGCAGCAGUGAGGAAUAUUGUUCUAUGGGCGGGAGCCUGAACCAGCCAAGUCGCGUGAGGGAAGACGGUCCUAUGGAUUGUAAACCUCUUUAGGCGGGGAGCAAAGCCGGGCACGUGUGCCCGGAGGGAGAGUACCCGCAGAAUAAGCAUCGGCUAACUCCGUGCCAGCAGCCGCGGUAAUACGGAGGAUGCGAGCGUUAUCCGGAUUUAUUGGGUUUAAAGGGUGCGUAGGCGGAUUUUUAAGUCAGCGGUAAAAUGUCCGGGCUCAACACGGGCCGGCCGUUGAAACUGGGGAUCAUGAGUGGGCGUGAGGUAUGCGGAAUGCGUGGUGUAGCGGUGAAAUGAACAGAUAUCACGCAGAACUCCGAUUGCGAAGGCAGCAUAUCGGCGCCCAACUGACGCUGAGGCACGAAAGCGUGGGGAUCGAACAGGAGUAGAUACCCUUGUAGUC
rnacentral:rRNA from 1 species